rnacentral:rRNA from 1 species
UACAGAGACCUCAAGCGUUAUCCGGAAUCACUGGGCGUAAAGCGUACCGAUCGGUGGAUGUAUAAGUCAGAAGGGAAAUCUCCGAGCUCAACUCGGAAUCUGUCUUUUGAAACUAUACAACUAGAGGGGCAAAGAGGAAGCUGGAACGAACGGUGUAGUAGUGAAAUGCGUUGAUAUCGUUCGGAACACCAAUAGCGAAGGCAGGCUUCUGGGUGCAACCUGACACUGCUAGGACGAAAGCGUGGGGAGCGAAUGGG